rnacentral:lncRNA from 1 species
GUGGUGCUGAGUACUACAGAAUUACUAAUGGCUUGGUGAGCUCCCCUUCACUUCUUAGUGACUAGUUUGCCACAUUAAUGUUGGCGUUACACAACUCAAACAUACUCUUAAUAUGGUGUGACAUAUUCUGCUUUUGGCAAAGCUCCUAUUGUUUUCUUCGAAAGGCCUCGUACCCAUUGGCAGACCUAUGCUAUACAAAGAGGGGUCACCAGCACCCGUAAAGUUCGGCAAAAAUUCAAUAUAUACAUGUAUAUGUAUUUAGAAAAAAGUAAUAUAUUAGUGGUGGAUACCAUAUAUACAAAGCAGAUUUUGAUUGAAUCCAAAAAUGCACCCACAACCUUCAUAUCCCGGGUCCACCUCUGAAUCAUACCCACUAAAAGUAGCCAUACACCUUAUAUGUAGCUUCCUUUUCCUUUCAGCAACCAAUGUGAGACGUUGGUCGCAACCUAACAAUAUCAUAUACCGAUAAUUAAUUAGACUGUUGAUCUAAUAAAUUGUAUUGACAUGUAGGAUUUGGAGGACAAACUACAUCCAGGUGGUCCAUUUGAUCCACUAGGCUUGGCAAAGGACCCAGACCAGGCAGCAAUAUUGAAAGUAAAAGAAAUCAAGAAUGGAAGACUAGCCAUGUUUGCUAUGCUUGGUUUCUUCAUCCAAGCCUAUGUGACAGGACAAGGUCCAGUCGAGAAUUUGGCUGCCCAUUUGAGCGACCCCUUUGGCAACAACUUGCUCACUGUCAUUGGUGGAACUGCUGAAAGAGUCCCCACUCUGUAAUUUUACAAUUCGGGGGAAAAGGACCAGUUGAGAAUUUGGCUGCUCAUUUGAGUGAUCCUUUUGGCAACAACUUGCUCACUGUCAUUGCUGGAACUGCUGAAAGAGCCCCCACUCUGUAAUUUUAUAAUUCGGCAAUAUGCUAUACAUUUUGAUGCACUUGAUCAGAGCUGUAUUAUGUGAAAAAUUAAACCAGCUUGUAGUUCAAGACAAACUGUACUUAAUUUCAUAGAGCUCCACUACUGGCCACAUUCGUACUUUUGUCCGUGCAUAUCUUAAAUCAUGCUUUUCACAAGUUCGGUAUGCUAAAGGGUAACGAAGGAACACUAGUUCUAUUGGCUCUAAGCCCGCAUUCUUCCUAGCAACCGAGUC